GGCGGUGUUUGGCACCUCGAUGUCGGCUCAUCUCAUCCUGGGGCUGUAGCCGGUCCCAAGGGUAUGGCUGUUCGCCAUUUAAAGAGGUACGUGAGCUGGGUUUAAAACGUCGUGAGACAGUUUGGUCCCUAUCUGCCGUGGGCGUUGGAAGUUUGAGGGGGGCUGCUCCUAGUACGAGAGGACCGGAGUGGACGAACCUCUGGUGUACCGGUUGUCACGCCAGUGGCAUCGCCGGGUAGCUAUGUUCGGAAGAGAUAACCGCUGAAAGCAUCUAAGCGGGAAACUCGCCUCGAGAUGAGACUUCCCUGGGAACUCGAUUCCCCUGAAGGGUCGUUCAAGACCAGGACGUUGAUAGGCUGGGUGUGGAAGCGCAGUAAUGCGUUAAGCUAACCAGUACUAAUUGCCCGUGAGGCUUGAUCCU
rnacentral:rRNA from 1 species